rnacentral:tRNA from 1 species
GAUGGCGGUGGCUACGGCGUUGGUGGUGCGGUUGCCCUAGCCGGGCGUGGCGGGGGGUGGCGGUGCCCUGCGCCGCCGUGCCGUGCGGGGCGCCGCCCC